rnacentral:rRNA from 1 species
GACGAACGCUGGCGGCGUGCUUAACACAUGCAAGUCGAACGGAAAGGCCCUGCUUUUGUGGGGUGCUCGAGUGGCGAACGGGUGAGUAACACGUGAGUAACCUGCCCUUGACUUUGGGAUAACUUCAGGAAACUGGGGCUAAUACCGGAUAGGAGCUCCUGCUGCAUGGUGGGGGUUGGAAAGUUUCGGCGGUUGGGGAUGGACUCGCGGCUUAUCAGCUUGUUGGUGGGGUAGUGGCUUACCAAGGCUUUGACGGGUAGCCGGCCUGAGAGGGUGACCGGCCACAUUGGGACUGAGAUACGGCCAAGACUCCUACGGGAGGCAGCAGUGGGGAAUAGUGCACAAUGGGCGGAAGCCUGAUGCAGCAACGCCGCGUGCGGGAUGACGGCCUUCGGGUUGUAAACCGCUUUCGCCUGUGACGAAGCGUGAGUGACGGUAAUGGGUAAAGAAGCACCGGCUAACUACGUG